rnacentral:rRNA from 1 species
GACAGAGGCCCCGAGCGUUAGGCGGAAUCACUGGGCUUAAAGCGCGUGUAGGCGGAGGGCUAAGUACCUUGUGAAAUCCCCGGGCUCAACCCGGGAACUGCUCGGUAUACUGGCCUUCUUGAGGCACCUAGGGGCGAGCGGAACAAACGGUGGAGCGGUGAAAUGCGUAGAUAUCGUUUGGAACGCCAACGGAGAAAUCAGCUCGCUGGGGGUGUCCUGACGCUGAGACGCGAAAGCCAGGGGAGCAAACGGG